GAUGAAGAACGUAGCGAAAUGCGAUAAGUAAUGUGAAUUGCAGAAUUCAGUGAAUCAUCGAAUCUUUGAACGCACAUUGCGCCCGCUAGUAUUCUGGCGGGCAUGCCUGUUCGAGCGUCAUUUCAACCAUCAAGCCCUGUUUAGGCUUGUGUUGGGGCCCUGUGGCUGCCGCAGCCCCCUAAAUGCAGUGGCGGGCUCGUUGUCACUCCGAGCGCAGUAGCGUAUCUCGCUCUGGGCGUGGCGGCGGGUGCUAGCCGUGAAACACCCACUAAGGUUGACCUCGGAUCAGGUAGGAAUACCCGCUGAACUUAAGCAUAUCAAUAAGCGGAGGA
rnacentral:misc_RNA from 1 species